CUGCCUGUUAUACUUGAGGUCCUUGCCUGCUCGCGGUCCAUCUGGUAGGCGUUGGCGAGGACCACGUCGGGGAGUGAUCGCAAGACGGAGGUCCUGCCAGCUAGAGUGUUGACCAUGGCAUUGUCAUUGGUCUUGAAGGCAAUGUACUCGUACCCGUUGCUCUGGGCUUUUUGCAACACGGCGUGGUUUUGCGGCACGAUGAAGAGUUGUCCCUGGCGGACCUGGUCGUCCAAGAUGGUCUCACCGUUGUCGUUCACCACCUGAACCCUGGCGCUACCUCUGAUGACAUAGAUGAUCUCAUGAGCAUUCAAGUUCCAGCGGGGGCUGUGGAUAGCAUUCUGCAUGUACCAUUACCAGAUAAAUUUCAGGAUUAAUUGAUCAAUAGGUAACUAAAUUUAAUUAUUAGAAACAUACAUGCUAGAAUACUCACGUUGUAGAAGAAACCUCUCUCAGCGCUGAGACGGAGGUGCCUGAGAAUAGGCAUGCUGAAGCUGUUGAGGGUGCUGAUGCGACCGGCUUGUGGGCUGAAGACGUCAGCCAUGGAAGGCUUGCCGAUGUUCUGCUUGAUCUGCAUGUGGCAGAAUACCUCCUCAAAGCCAUUCUGGCGGCCCUGUUGUCCUUGCAGUUGUCUUUCCUCCCUCUGUGACUCUGGUGGCUCGACAAAGUCGAAACGUCCCUCAACCCUAACAAUUUGUGGCCUGUUGUCAUUCUGUCCCUGGAGCUGCUGGACAGUCUGUUGGUCAAUGUUGAGAGCAUCGGCGAGGAGCUGGGUGUCGAAGCCGGCAAAGACAUUGUUGUUGUUGUUACCCUGCUGUUGGCGCCUGCUCCUUCCUUGUUGUCGGCCUUGCUGUCCCCGUUGGCUUUGGCCUUGUUGUCCUUGUUUCCACCAUUGGCUUUGGCCUUGUUGGUUGAACUCAUCUUGCAUGCGGGUUACCAGCAAGAUAGAAUCGCUACAAAUAGAGAUCAAGCAGCAAGCAUUGAGUGAGUUAACAAUGUAAAAUAAGUUGUUAACUUCAUGUUUAGAGUAAAAUUGUCAGUAAAAAGGUGUACCCUCUUGGGUUUUGGUCAAGCUGGUUGUGGUUGUUGCCGAUGUCUAGAAGAGUAACAAAAACAAGAGAUUGAUCACCAUCGUUGUGAGUCCAGGUUGUGGCUCCGGCGGGGAUUGCGAUAACAUCACCUUCCUUGAUGCGUCGCACCCUCUGGUGUCGGUCUAGCUGUUCAAACUCUUGUUGGCCUUGCUCUCCGAAUUGCCCUUGUCGACGUCCGUGUCGCUGGCGGUGGCCUCCGCCUUGUUGGCCUUGCCAUUGUUGUUGCUGUUGUUCUUCAACAGAUUGCUCAGACUCCUCAAAUGUCUCCGGACAGCCAGGGAAUACCAUCCCUAGAUGACCCCUACCUACAGUAGUGUCCAAAAAUAGCAAGCUAAACACAUGCUUAAACACCACUAGGUGCAAUUUACUGAAUAAUAAAUAACGGACUGUUUUGCACUUUACCUUGUACAACGUAAACAAGCCUUGGUGUGUUAGUGUAGGAAGGCAAGUGAAGGCCAUUACGCUCAAUGGUGAUUCUUUGAACAGCAACACCAGCGCACUAGAAGUCAUCCUGGUUGUGAUCCCAAGACUCGAUGCGACCUGCUUCAGUCUCAAUACGGUUGUCAGGCUCGCGGGCUUGGAUCUGGUUCAGCAUGCACACAUUUUGCUGGCUGAACUGAGAUUGUUGCCGACUGGCUAAGCAGCCUUGGAAGAGAACGAGCAAGCAAAGAGAAAAGGCAAGAGCUAAAGGCUUGGCCACCAUUGUAACAAUCAGUGGUAGAUAGCUAGCUGUGGGUUGUGGUGAAGCGGCGAGUAGAUGGCGUCGGUAUUUAGAGGAGAGAGGAGGAGGCGAGGAGGAGAAAAAUACAAGGGAUGAGAUUCUCUUUGCAUGCUAUUAGUAUCUCAAAUUCAUACACCUCAUCUUUAUACCUGGGCAGGUGGCUAUUGGCUUCAGAGGAUAUAUAUACAAAGUGCCGAGAACAAUGUGGCAAACAGGUGGGGGGUGGUCAUGAUUGUCUGCAAGUAAAGCAAAUUGUACUGCCUUGAACCUGGUCAAGUUCAUGAAAAAGUUCAUUCAAGAUAUCAGGUCUAAUCUGUUUCAUGUUUGGUAAAGUAAAUAGAGUAGCAACCUGGACCAUAUAUAAUCUACACAGGUGAGAUAAAAAAACCUUAAUUUACCAUCAUGCAAUAGCCAGAAUCCAUCUUCAAUCCUCUAUGAUUCUAUUAAGACUUAAAGCACAUUUACCCUCUUCAAGAAUUCACAUUCCAGCACUCUUCUAAAUGACUCUACUUGAUGAAAUUCAAAGUACCUCUCGCUAUAUUCUGGGAAUUACUGUGAUCAUCAGAGCAAUUACCUCACCUAUUAACUCAUAGUAUGCUUGAGCUAAUGUGAGAUCAUUCCUUAUAUAAAUGAGAAUGCAAUGCCUAACAUAAGUUUUAUGUGUAUAAUACAAUCAUAAGAGACUCACUGAUUACAAUUAUAUGAAAUAUAUGAAACAAAAGCACAGAAAAUAGACUUCUGGAAAAAGAACAUAUUUCUACAAGUGAAGGCUUAUUAUUUACACUAGUCUCACUGAUUUCCAUUUGGCUCUUCUGACCAAAUAGACUUCUGUAAAAAGUACAACAUUUGAGCCCAUGAUCACCCUCUACUUGGAAAUACCAUUGAUUCUAAAACAUAGUCCUUACAGUAUUUGUGGGAACUAGAUUAUUGGGUCAGUUUAGCUAAGAUUAAACUGUUAACAAAACCAAGCUUUAGAACCCAAUUUAGCAAAAUGAACAUACAAUAGUGUCACACCCCGGACCGUGGUUUCCAAGCACCAGACGCCGAACCCGAGGCGUGAGCGGGAAAAAUAAAAGAAAAUAAAAUAAUUUCAAAUACUUUUCCAGAAAUUGUUAAAAAAAAAGAAAAUAAAAUGUUUUACAAUAACAAAACAAUUACAAAGACAAUAAGAUGAGCCCUUGCGAUCUAGCUCAUUUUUAAUCUUUCGUAACUCUUUUCUACUCUUGUACACGUCUCCUAAACUUCAUAGUCUCGAAAUACGUUCCUCGUACGUACCUGAACAAAAGUCUAUAGGGAUGAGCUUACGCUCAGUAGGGCCAAACCUUUUUAGGUUAUACUUAACUAGGUUGCACAAACAAGUUAUCAAGCAAUGUCAAACAAUACUUUAAAUAAAUAACGGCAAUUCGAUGCAUGUAUGCUAAUGAAUGUCUUCCUCAAUUACUAGCUAUCAGUCCAUACAUCAAAGAUAAGUGAGCCUACACGUCUCAUACCGUGUAUUUUACCAACCGGGGAUAACUCAAAUGUCUCGAAUAUAUGAUCUAACAAUCAAUAAAAUCUCACCACCUGUACCUCUUUUGUUAGUCAUCUUGUUAUAUUCAUGGUCUCCAAACCUGAAACCCGAAGAUCGUUUUAUCGAUGUCCGCCAUCGAAGGGGCAUAUAUACUUUCCCCACUCAUUUGCGCAUGUGGGCUGGCAUGGAUUCAUGGACAACCCAUGAGAAAACUCAACUACACAAAAUGUAUAUAUUCUCUAAAUCUCAUUCUCCUCUCCAUAAUCAUCAUUCUCACCAUUCUCACAAUUCCUCACAAUGUUUUACACACUACAAGGACAAACACUUUAGCCGACGAAAAAGUUUCGUCGGCCUGUUAGCUUAAUUUGUCGGCUAAGAUUUCGUCGGGAAAAGGUCGUCGGCGAUGACUUUAGCCGACGAAAAAAGAAGACGUCGUCGGCUAUAGUCCCACAAUUUAGCCGACAAAAAACAUGUCGUCGGUUUUUUUCCCAGACUUUAGCCGACGAAACAAUAAGAUAUUCGUCGGCUAAAGUGUGUAAUAAAAAAUUAAAAAAAUAAUUAUAGCCUACCAAAUAUAGUCUGUUUCGUCGGCUAAACCUUAUAAAAAAAUUAAAAAAAUAACUAUAGCCGACGAAAUAUAGUAUGUUUCGUCGGCUAAACCUUAUAAAAAAAUUAAAAAAUAAAUAUAGCCGACGAAUAUAGUAUUUAAAUAUCGUCAGCUAAAGUUGCUGGUUUUUGAAAAAAAAAACUGCAGAAACUUUCGGCCAACUCCAAUCACCACCAAAAUUUGAUAGAAUCUUCCUCUCAACAUUUCAAACAACUUUCUAGAAGAAGUCGAAUCCCAAUUCUAAACCUAAACAGGUCAAUUGAAUCAAAAUAUAAAAAUCCCCAAUUUUAAACCCUAAAAACUUCAAAUCUUUGAUUCUCCUCACACACACCGAAUCGAGCUACCAAAUUCUAGGGGAAUGUAGUACUAAUCAAACUCAACUUAUCCAUAUAUAGAACUCACCAAAUGGUGACCUGAGGAAUGAGAAAUUCGAUCGACACCGAAUCCAAACCGGCGGAGUUUUGGAGCUCGAUUUAUCCCUCACGGCGGCGCCACUCGAUGCACCACCUAUCCAGCAAUGAAGUAGAGACAACGACGAAGCUUUUGGGACAAGUGUGGCGGUCUCCAGUUGCUUGACGGCAGAGCUAGGCCGAGAAGAAAAUCCGGAACUUUUUCUGAUUUUCUGACUUCUUACCAUCCACCUCUGGUAAAACUCCUAUAUAAAGAACUUUACCCGACGAAAUUCUUUAUUUUCGUCAGCUAAACUCUUUUGAAAAUUUUUGUUGACCGCCAAAAAAUUUGGUUGAAAAUUUUAAAAAUUUUUCGACUUUAGCCGACGACUUUUCAUAUAUUUUCGUCGGCUAAAGUCCUUUGAAAAUUUUCCUCCAAAUUUGGUUUACCGCCAACAAAAUUUGACCUUAGCCGACGACUUUUUUAGUAUCUCGUCGGCUAAAGUCUAUAAAUUCACGAAAACGCUCAUAUCGAUCUCCCUCUAUAUUACGUAGUUUGGUCAAACAUUCCACACGAAAAACUUUCACAUAGAUGAGACGCAACCGCCUAUAUAAAAAUUUUGAGACAUUUACCUUCCGACGAUAGGGCUCCCCAUAGGGAAUAAUAACGGUAAAUAGGGUUAACCGCUACUAUCGGCACCGAGACGUUACCCAGUUUACGUGGAUUUUGAACCAUAGCCGUAAUUCAUCAUUCUGAACACAUCUUAUUUCACAAGAUUUUUGAUAAUUUUGCUUCCUAUGUUGUAUAACCUACUAAACAAGUUAUACAACAUUACUAGACACGUGAUUCCGAUGACUAAAAUUCACAAACCAAAAUUCGACCAUCAGAUAUGAUCAUUAUGACGAAAGAUGUCUAUAGUAAAAAAUUUAACUGGAUUCGACAACGUUAAGGGCUCGAUCGAAACGGUCAACUCUAAUCGGAAAUAAGAAAACUGCAUUUUGAAGCCCUAAACGGACUCGGAUGGCCAAAAAGGCCCAUAUGUGAUGGCAUAGCGAUGAGUUUGACUCGUAGGGCCGUUACGCUUCUAGAAAUGUAUCACAAUAGUCAAUCGGACGCCGAAUGCCAAAUCUGCAGCAUAAUUAAUACCGGGUUUCGACUGUUCUACAUCAGAGACGUUACCCGAUUUACGUGAUUUUUGAACCAUAGCCGUAUUUCACCGUUCUGAACACAUCUUAUUUCACGAGAUUUUUGUUAAUUUUGCUUCUAUGUAGAGUUGGUUCACAAAGUUGUGUAUUUGUUUAAAACCUACUAAGCAAGUUAUACAACAUUUUAUUGUUUUUCUUUUAGCCGACGACUUUUAUCGAUAAUAGCCGACGAGUAAAAAUAUUGGCCAACGAAGGAAAACUUUUUGGUCGACGAAAAAAAAAUUUCGUCGACUAAAGUAUCGUAUAGCCGAUGAAAAAAUUUCUUCAGCCGACGAAAAUUUAAAUUAGCCGACGAAAAAAUAAUUCGUCGGCCUGGUUUUUUUAUUUUCGUCGGCUAAAACCUUUCUUUUGGUAGUGACACAUGUCAAAUGAAUAUCAAUACACGUUAUAUUAUUUUAAACAACAUGUUUUUUACGGAAAACGAUAACAUCAAUCAUAUAUAUCAACAAAUACACAUGUUUUUAACAAAACAAUAACAACCAAGAGUUAUCACUCAAUGACAAACAAAACAUCCAUUUCAAUUAUAAUCUAAUUAUCAAUUUAAGAAAGGUUCCCCGAGAAAGACCCUACCUGGAAUCCAAAUGCUACUUCCGACGCUAGCUAAAAUUAGUAACUCUGCUGAAAUCCUUAUCCUGCUACUUCUGCAAUCCAGCUACUCGCAUUCGAUCCUCGUACCGAAUCCUCAUUCCAAGAAUAUUGACAGACCACUUCAAAUCAGCUUGAUCUAAUUCUGAAAUUUACUAAGGACACCCAAGUCCUUACUUCCGAUUCUUCGACAUUCACUACUUAAUUCUCUCAUAGUAUCCAAACUCACAAUUGUGCUCCAAAUACGAAAUCCAUCUCCAAACACCAACCCAACUUCAAAUAGAAGUUAAUAUUUUUAUCUAAAAUUACUCUCUACACCCAAAACUCCCAUUAUAAAUCUCAAUACAGCUUGAUCAUCCUUCCCUCUUCUCCUUUGCACCAUUUCACAAUAUCUUCCUUGUAGACCCAACAAGCAAACCUCCAGACUUGUUCAUGAUGAACAUGUUCAUAUACGAGCACUUCCAUUACAUAAAUUAAAAUCAUUCUUCUACUUCCACAACUCUCAAACAUUAGACCAAACAAUUGUAACAACCACUGUUCUAACACUCGAGCCACAAUCAGCCUUCCAAUCAUCCCCUUCUCUCUCUUUUGAACGUUCAAGAAGCAUCAACACCAAUUCAAGUUCCUGAGCAAAGCCAGCACCGCCAACAACGCCACCACACACGGCAGCCGACGACUGCCCCGAAAUCAUCAACUCCUCCAAUCUCAAAUUCAAUUACAACCAACCAUGAAAUUAUAUUUUAAAGCCUCUAUCAAUAUCAAAGAUAGCUAAUCCAAAACCCAAAACAUUAUCAACGCCGCCGUGCACAGCAGCCGCGCACGGUGGUCGACUGCCCAAAUUCCACCUUCUUCCAAACAUAACCAAAUAUGAAUUCCACUUAUAUAAACAGGUAGAGCUCGACGAGAAGAUCAAGUUUCAUACCUCACUUGUCAUCGACGGUGGCCUGAAAGUUUCGAACCCUCGCCGGAAAACUCCUUGAGCUUUAAUUAAUCGAUUCUCACUCAUGGAGGCUCCUCUUAAUAUACGAACAUCAUGGAAGGGUUUCUGACAUCGAGACGAAGCUUCAGCUAUCGAUGAGAGGCGUCGACGCUGCCGGAAUCGAAAGUUGACCCGCGAACCCAGCCUCUCUUUCUCCCCUUCGAUUCUCUUACCCGACCUCUUCUGAAGAAACUGAGGACAUAGGGAAGACCACGAGAACGAGAGGAAGCUACCAAUACCCGUCACACUCGCCGUCGUGGCCGAAAUCACGAACUCGACCGGAAACCCAGAAAUUCUUCUCCUCCUCGAUUCUCUCUCUCCUCAGCUUUCCAUGGAAAUCCAACAUCACAAUCGUGUUGGGGACGACUAGACGGAGCUUUUGACACCGGUCUUGCACCGGGAAAUAGCUGGACCACAGAGGAAGGAGCUGAGCUCCGUCGCUGCAGAGCAGCUCGAGACCGAGUCGGUCUAGGCUUGUACUGAUCCAGUCCAAACUAAUCCCCUGUAUAUACAUACCUAAAUCGAUGGCCUAGAUCUAGCGGCUUAAGAGAUCCAACAGUCUAGAUCAUGUCAGCAAUAAGUCUAUUUUUAAUUAAAUUUUUAGAUAAUACAAACUUCUAAAAAUCAUUAAAAAUAGCUCUGAUGUCCAAAAAUACUUCCGUAAAAUUCUACAAACUCAUAACGACGUCUAGGUUAAUCCUAUGGGCUCGAAAGACAAAAUCGACAAACUAAAAAUUUGAAUAAUUUUCAACAAGCCACAAAAAAUUAAAAGAAUAAUAGAAAUCGAAAUAAAAAUAGCUCGAAAAAUAAUUUUCCUUUUAAAAAUAGAAAACUGAAAUUCCAGGAUGUUACAAAUAACUUCAGGAUUUCAAUUACAUGCAAAAGACAAGAGUUAGCAAGUAACUAAACCUUGGAAUUUAGAAUUUAAAUUUCAAGCCAGUGGUUAUUGUUGAACCUGUUACGAAGGAAAUGAAGCUCAGUCGACUGUGUGAUCGUCCGGUGUGGUUCACCUGAGUACCGUCGCUUGAUACAUUGAUCGGUUCCAUCUUACUCCGCAUUCCUAAUUGCCCGCUUCUCACUGGUGGCUGUCGUUUUCGUUUCUUUCGAAUAUGAAUUUUGUGUUGGGCUUUCGCAACUGUUAUUUGGGCCUGUAUACAGUAGUAUUAUCUCUCUCUCUCUCNNNNNNNNNNNNNNNNNNNNUAUUAUCUCUCUCUCUCUCUCUCUCUCUCUCUCUCUCUCUCUCUCUCUCUCUUUUCAAUAACCUGUCUUUUCUUUUUUAUUUAGAGAAGAUUCUACAACUUUUUGUUUCAAGACAUCUUUAUUUAUUUAUUUAGAGAAGAUUAUUUAUGAGGCUAUGUCAAAGAGAGAGCUUCUGCGACUGGAGUAGUUGACAUACCAUAGUUGAACGAAGCUACAACCCAUGGAUGGUCGUUAAUUGUUGGUGCUAAUCACGAAUCCCUCAACUGCAGAGUUUCUCCUGACCGAUCUAUCAAAGUUGAUUUUAACCCUAUCCCACAACCACUAUCCGGUUGCUGAAGCUCUAGCUCUGCGCAAUAGCCUCGUGUAUGCUAAUUAAAGAGCGAGGCUUCUCCAAGAUUGAAGUUGAGGGCGAUUCUAAGUUGGUGAUUGACGCCGUGAAUGGAGUGUCGACCCCUCUGUGGAAGUUACUCAAACUAAUUCAUGAUAUCAAAGUCUUGAGUAAUUCCUUUGAGUUUGUAUGCUUUCAGCAUGUGUUUAGGGAAGCAAACUUUGUGGCUAAUGCUUUAGCCAAUCUUAGAUAUAGGCUGAGUAACCUACGCUGCUAGGAGAAGUGUGUUCCCCCGGAAGUGUCUUCUGCUCUUGCCUUUGACAUUGUAAACCUUGGGUGCAUUAGAGACACCUCCAUCUAAUAUAUUUUUUUUUNNNNNNNNNNNNNNNNNNNNNNNNNNNNNNNNNNNNNNNNNNNNNNNNNNNNNNNNNNNNNNNNNNNNNNNNNNNNNNNNNNNNNNNNNNNNNNNNNNNNNNNNNNNNNNNNNNNNNNNNNNNNNNNNNNNNNNNNNNNNNNNNNNNNNNNNNNNNNNNNNNNNNNNNNNNNNNNNNNNNNNNNNNNNNNNNNNNNNNNNNNNNNNNNNNNNNNNNNNNNNNNNNNNNNNNNNNNNNNNNNNNNNNNNNNNNNNNNNNNNNNNNNNNNNNNNNNNNNNNNNNNNNNNNNNNNNNNNNNNNNNNNNNNNNNNNNNNNNNNNNNNNNNNNNNNNNNNNNNNNNNNNNNNNNNNNNNNNNNNNNNNNNNNNNNNNNNNNNNNNNNNNNNNNNNNNNNNNNNNNNNNNNNNNNNNNNNNNNNNNNNNNNNNNNNNNNNNNNNNNNNNNNNNNNNNCACUCUCUCUCUCUCUCUCUCUCUCUCUCUCUCUCUCUCUCUCUCUCUCUCUCUCUCUCUCUCCACCGUUGAGCAGCAACGAUUCUGGCAACACCGGACGGCGAGACCGCCACUGAAGUGAUCCUCUCCUCCUCCUCAACUCAGCCCAGUCCUUUAAUUCGGAAGACAUCCACUUUUGGCGGAGAUCGAUGGAGGAGGACGGUGACUAUCCUUCAUUGUUUUCCGGCGAGGGCUCAGGCUCCGAUCACUGAUCCACCUAGCGACGGUGAGUCCCUUCCUCCUCUCUUCCUUCUGCACAGUCUAGUGCUUUAUUUCCUUCAAAUCGAGACCUAACUCAGAAAUCCCCUUGUGUUUCUGAGUUUCUUGAGCUUCUUUUCCUGCGAUUGUGUUCUUCGUGUUCUGGUGGCGACCACGAGCUCCGACGAGCGUAGUUCAUCCUUGGAGAUGCCGGGACUUAGAGUUGGGAAGCUUUGGGGCAGUUGCUGUUGUGCAGCAUCGUGGCAAAGGGACUGCUUAUUGAUUUCAAGCAAGGAGAGGUUGCUGGGUUUGAGUGGUGUACAGAUUGGAGGUAAGGAGUUUGAUUUGGUCGGCUGUGUUGUUGUUUGUGUUGCGGUUAUUGAGUUGGAUUGUGACUAAAAUCAUUGUUGUGGUUGAUACUUGUCGAUGUCAAUAACUUGGUGAUAGGAGUUUAUGAGGAGGCUAUGGCAAAAUUCCGGUAAGUCGUCGGAAUCUGGCAAGAGAUUUCGACGAGGGCAGAAUCAUGCAGAGACUAUUGAGGUAGUUAUCGAUGUUUUUCCCUGCUAUUGUGUAUCGUUUCAAUAAUAGGAAAGUUUGUAGGUUGUAAUCGGAAAUCUUUCUAAGUGAGGAAAGUUUCUAUUUUAGGAAACUUUCCCUUUUUGGGAAACUUUCUAUUUAUGGAAACCCAUUGUUGGGUGCCCUUAGUGAUUUAUGGGGUGAAGUUGUGUUGAGAGGAAGUAUAUGGGGAUUGUAUGGGUGAAGAAACAAUUGUAAUUGUGUUGUAAUUGAGGAUUUCUCGGAUGAAGAAAUUGGAUAAUCGAGGAAUGGAUUUAGUGAAAAGGUUUGUUCUUAUUUAAGAUCUAAUUGAUUUCAAGUGAAGCAAAUAAUUGAUUUAUUAAAAUGAUUGUUGGAUUUGAAUUGGAUGGUUAAGAGUAAUCAAGGUAACCCGAAUUUUCAAGUCGAAGGUUAGAGUGGAAAAUGUUGAAACUUCGUUACUUGGCCAACCCUAAUUUAAUUGGUCAAUUUUGGUCAACUCAGGAAAUCUAGCCAAACUAGGAAGAAUUUGAAUCCAUGAUUAUUAUGGUGUUUGGUCUGACCGAUUUAUUCUUCUAUUUAUCGUCAGACGUGGGAUUGGCUAGAGAAUGUGAAUAGUUUGAGGCAGCGCUCGAGGAGUAUUCCGAGCAUUGGAAGACUUAGGCCUAAUACGGUGAGUGGACUUUUGUUUUAAAUAAUAUGCAUGCAAAUGGUUUAUUGUUGAGCAAUUUCUUUUGUUGGAGCAUUUGACGUCAUUUUAUUUUGACGAUUUCUUUUAUUUUGGAGAGUUACCGAAAAUGAGAUUUUCGGUGGAUAUGUAUAUGGAUUCUUAUGAGUAUAGUAUAAAUGCUAGCUAGCCUUACGUGUUUGGUCCGUCAUAAUAAGGUAAAAUUCCAUUAUGGCGUGACGUAAGUGUUAGACACAAGCGUCAUAGCCCUAUAUGAAAACUAUUUUCAUAUCUAGUUCAUAUAGAUUUUCAUAUAGGGAGUCCACACGUAUAUACACCCGUCCUCUUCGGUCAUAAUGAGGAAAAAUUUCAUUAUGGCGCGACGUGAGCGUUAGACGCAAGCGUCGUAGCCUUGUAUGAAUUUCUAUUUUUCUAUUUUGUUCAUAGAAUUCGUACAAGGAGUCUGACGAGUGUAAAUACAUACAUAUAUGUAUAGUUUAACCUGAGAUUCUGUAUUUUAUUAAGUUUUGGAGACUAGCUCAUGUAUUUGCCAGUUUAUGAGUUGAAAGCUUUUGAGCUGUCGCAUGCAGCAUAUUUUAUAUGGAAAUUAAAUUGGGGAAGCAUAAAGAAAUAUUGUUAUUAAAUUUAUUUUUGUCCACUCACUCUAACGUGUUUUCAAAUGUUUUCCCAUGCGCCAUUUGUUUUAAAAAUGCUCAGUAUGCAGGUUAGCUUAGUUGAGGUCGGGCGUACAUGAAGAAGAGACAUAGUCAAUAGUAUAGUUUCUGCUCAUUUCUAUAUUUCUAGUUCUUUUCUUCUCCAUUAGAGCUGUUCUGAACUGUGAUUGUUGGUUAUGGGAUUAUUCUUAUUAAGUUAGUAAAUAAAUUGGGAGAUGUUGUGAUUUGGGGAGCACGAAGGCUCCAGGAGUAGAGGGUUAUAGAUGGAUUUUUUCGAAGUGUUUGCAGGUAUUUCUAGGAAGGGUUGUCCAUUUUCAAGAGAGAUUAUGUCGAAUUUUCGGUAAAUUUUCCUUGGAGGUGGUCCCCGCAGGAUUUACUUCGGGUUUCAGGGUGAAAUUCGAGGUGGGUCCUGACACCAAGUGAGGAUUUUUAAAAAUGUUUAGGUGAUGUGAUAAUGAAAUUGGAAAAUAUCAAAUAACAAUUAAAACAUUCAUCUAACCAUUCAUUCAAAAGUCUACAUAUAAUUCUCGUUAUAAGUAGGAUGGCAAUGGGUAGGGUAGGAUACGGGGAUCAAAAUACCGUAUCCAUACCCUUUUACAUUUCUCAUCCCCGUACCCGUAAUUAGAUAAUGGGGAUUUCCCGUACCCGUACCCUUUGGGGAUUACGUUUCCAUACCCGUACCCGUACCCGUUAACAAUUAUGUAUUAAAUUAAAUUUUUUUUUAAAUACGAAAUACAUUAUAUAAAAGUAUGAAAUUAAAAUCAAAUACCAAAAUAAAUAAGUUUCAUGCUUCAAUCCAAUAAAAAUAAAUACAAGUUUUGGUUAAAACAGAACAAUACCGAUAAAUUUCAUUAAGAAAAUAAAAAUAUAUAAUAAAAAGGAAGGUCCGUUUAUUAAGAGAAUCACAAAUUUUUUUACAUAAAUAUUUAUUUAUAAAUUAUAUAUAAAUAUAUAUAAUAAAUUAUAUAAUUAUAUAUAAUAAUAUUUUCAUCCUUAAUAGGUGGGGAUAGGGACGAAUAUCAAAAUAUCAUACCCGCCCCGUACCCGAUUUAAGAAUCCGAAUACUGGGGAUCCCCAUCUCCAUUACCCAUUUAUAACCGUAUAUCUUCCUCGUUAGAGUCGAAUACCCGUGGGUACCCUACCCGCUAGGGAUUAUUGCCAUCCUUAGUUAUAAGGUUCUCAUUAGAAGUUUUCCCACUAAUGAAAUCGAAAAUUAGAAAGUCGCAACCUAGCUAUCUAUCAUGACGAAAACUAACAAAACCCGAUGAAGUAUCACACCAAGGAACUCUAGAUCUAACGUAUAUCUGUCUUUUGUGAUCCAAAAAACACGCGUACGACAUAUUACAUUGACUUACAACAUUUGGUGUACGGUAAUACCGUAUACCGUAUACCAUUUCCUAAACAUUUUCUCAAAAGUUAUACCAAGCACAACACCCAUAUAGGCAUAUUUAAGAAGUCCAAAAAGAAAUAAAGUUCAUUUUUCUCGGUCUUCACUAUCCGAUUUAAGUUUGUUUAACCCUAUACAGUCCAUUAUUUCAAGGAUCAAAACAAUUGAUAAUCGGAUUCGAUGCUAAUGAUCGACUUGGCUUUAAGGUGAUGGAAACCACUUCCAAUGGCCAGAAAAGACUUGAUUGGAGACUCCAAAAUAUAUAACUAGCUAGAUUCCGUAUUUCAUACCAAAUAGGAUCUCAAAUUAUAUAAAGUGAGAAAGCAAACUCAAACUAUCAAAAUGUUGUCGAAAUAUAUGGAUGGAGUUCUUGCAAAUUCUAUAUAUUUGAACCAAAGGAGAGUACGUACGUAGUACCUAUAGCUAUCUAAGGUUAGUCAGUUACUCAAUUUUAUUAGACUUCAUCAAUCGCUUUUCGUCUUUCACUCUAUAUAUGCCAUUUUGAAGUAGGUAUAACCAAGGAAAGGAAGUAGAAGAAGAAGGAAAUUUCAUUAUAAGCCAUACGAUUACAAGUGCAUAUAUAGUACGUAGUAGCUAGUUAUUGUCUUAGUGCGUUAGACCUCUCGUACUACAAGAGAGCCAUACAGGACUACCUUUAUUCAUUCUCUACCCCUUAAGCUAGCUUAGUGCCAAAACACUACGUGCCGCAUCAUAUUUUUACAUUUCGAUCAUCACAAUGAUUUAAGCAAUAGCCCAUCAGCUCUUCUGGGGCAUGGCAGCCGACCUUGAGGAGCUCAAGGCAACGAUCUCCUGCCUGUUGUACUUGAGGUUCCUAGCCUGCUGACGGUCCAUCUGGUAAGCGUUGGCGAGGACCACGUCGGGGAGUGAUCGCAGGACGGAGGUCCUACCAGCCAUGGUGUUGAUCAUGGCAUUGUCUUGGGUCUUAAAGGCAAUGUACUCGUAUCCAUUGCUCAUGGCCUUUUGCAACACGGCGUGGUUUUGCGGCACGAUGAAGAGCUGUCCCUGGCGGACCUGGUCGUCCAAGAUGCAGUCGCCAUUGUCGUUCACCACCUGAACCCUAGCGCUGCCCCUGAUGACGUAGUAUACUUCAUGGGCGUUCAAGUUCCAGUGUGGGCUGUAGAUAGCGUUCUGCAUUUACAACGUAUCAAUCACUUUUAAUUACUUAAGCUCAAACAAUUAAUUGGUAACUAAUUAAAAUGAACUAAUAAAUGCAUGGAAAAGAAUACUGACGUUGUAGAAGAAGCCUCUCUCAGCGCUGAGACGGAGGCGCCUGAGAAUAGGCAUGGUGAAGGCGUUGAGGGUGCUGAUGCGACCGGCUUGCGGGCUGAAGACGUCGGCCAUUGUAGGCCUUCCGAUGUUUUGUCUCAUCUUCAUGUGGCAGAAGAGCUCCUCCAUGCCGUUCUCUUCAUAUUGUCCUUGUUGUCCCUGCAUUUGUGUUCCUUGGAUUUGCCUUUCCUCCCUCAUUGACUCUGGGGGCUGGAUGAAGUCGAGGCGUCCCUGUACCCUAACAAUCUGUGGCCUGUUGUCGUUCAUUCCCUGGAGCUGCUGGGCGGUCUGUUGGUCGAUGUUAAGAGCGUCGGCGAGGAGCUGUGUGUCGAAGCCGGAGAAGACGUUGUUGUAGUUCCCCUGCAUUUGGUGCCUGCUCUUUCCUUGUUGUCUCCGGAUCCGUGGGCUUUGGCCUUGUUGGGUGAACUCAUCUUGUGGGUUACCAGCAAGGUAGAAUCUCUAUAUAUAAAGAGAGAUUAAGCAGCAACAAGUCAGUGAACAUUACCCUAAACUAUUUUUGGUACAUGCAAGAAUAUAUACUGAAUGAAAUGUGGUAAGAAAUUGUACCCUUGGGAUUCGGUCCAGCUGGUUGUGCUGGUUGCUCAUGUCAAGAAGACUGACGAAAACAAGAGGUUCGUUAGCGUCGUUGUAACUCCAGCAGGUGACACCAGCAGGAAUGGCGAUAACAUCACCUUCCCUGACGCGUCGGACCUUCUGGUGACGGUCGAGCUGAUCAUAGCUCUCUUGCUGGCCUUGCUGGCCCAUUUGUCCCUCUCGGCGUAUAAUCUGUUGCCGGCGGCCUUGUUGGCCUUGAGAUUGUCGUUGCUCUUCAACAGAUUGUUCGGUUUCUUCGAAAGUCUCGGGACAGCCGGGGAGAACCAUUCCUAGAUGACCCAUACCUGCAAUACUCAUAGCAAUAAGUUAACAGUCCAUCGACAAACGCUAGCUAGCUACAUGCAAUUUCGGUAUAACUAAUGAAGUGAUAUGAUAUUACCUCGGACGACGUAAACGAGUCGUGGAGUGUUAACGUAAGAAGGCAGGUGGAGGCCGUUGUUCUCAAUGGUGAUCUUCUGAACGGCGACGCCAGCGCACUGGAAGUCAUCCUGGUUGUAGUCCCAGGACUCGAUCCGACCUGCUUCAGUCUCAAUGCGGUUGUCGGGCUCGCGGGCUUGGAUCCGGUUCAGCAUGCACUCAUUUUGCUGGCUGAACUGAGUUUGUCGCCGACUGGCUAAGCAGCCGUGGAAGAGAACAAGUAAGCAAAGAGAGAAAGCGAGAGCUAAGUGCUUGGCCAUUGUGAUGAUCAAUGGCAGAUAGCUAGUUGUGGGUUGUGAUGAUGAAGUGGAGAGUAGAGCGUUGGUAUUUAUAGGAGAUGAGAGGAGGUGAGGGUGAGAAUAGUGCAAAUGAUGUGUAAGGAAUCUCAUGCCAUUCUUCUCUUUGCAUGGCUAUUAGUAUUUCACAUUCUUACACCUCAUUUCUCUUCCAGGGCAGGUGGCUCUUGGCUUCAGAGAAGGUUUAAAGUUAUAAGAACAAGGUGGCAACCAGGUGGGGUGGCCAUGAUUGUUUGCAAGUGAAGCAAAUUUCACCUCCCCGAACCUCGUGCAAUGCAUGAACUCGAAUAAUUAACUCAUGAAUCAGAUCUGAAACUGUUUCAUGUUCGUGAAGAAAUAUUACAUCAGUACCAUCCCGAACUAUCUAUAAUUUACGGAGGUGAAACAUAAGAUGAUAAGAACUUUAUCAUCUUCCAAAUAGUAAUAUCCAUAUUCCUUUACUCCCUUUGUAUGUAAUUCAAAUGUAGUAUUUAAGACUUUUUGAACAUUUUUCAAGAAUGAUCUCUGGACUCGGCGCGCUCUUAUGUAUAAGAGUUCCUUUACCUGCUAAUAAAUCUAAAUAACUUAUAUAUAUAUAUAAACGGAUUUUCUCAGCUGCGGACGUCCGCACCAAUUUUUUGGUGCGGAUUUCUAUUUUUUCAUCACUUUUCGAUCGAAUUUCCUCAUCUCCACCGUCUAGUAUCUAGAUAAUAUUGUGUAGAUCAUCUCUGCAANNNNNNNNNNNNNNNNNNNNNNNNNNNNNNNNNNNNNNNNNNNNNNNNNNNNNNNNNNNNNNNNNNNNNNNNNNNNNNNNNNNNNNNNNNNNNNNNNNNNNNNNNNNNNNNNNNNNNNNNNNNNNNNNNNNNNNNNNNNNNNNNNNNNNNNNNNNNNNNNNNNNNNNNNNNNNNNNNNNNNNNNNNNNNNNNNNNNNNNNNNNNNNNNNNNNNNNNNNNNNNNNNNNNNNNNNNNNNNNNNNNNNNNNNNNNNNNNNNNNNNNNNNNNNNNNNNNNNNNNNNNNNNNNNNNNNNNNNNNNNNNNNNNNNNNNNNNNNNNNNNNNNNNNNNNNNNNNNNNNNNNNNNNNNNNNNNNNNNNNNNNNNNNNNNNNNNNNNNNNNNNNNNNNNNNNNNNNNNNNNNNNNNNNNNNNNNNNNNNNNNNNNNNNNNNNNNNNNNNNNNNNNNNNNNNNNNNNNNNNNNNNNNNNNNNNNNNNNNNNNNNNNNNNNNNNNNNNNNNNNNNNNNNNNNNNNNNNNNNNNNNNNNNNNNNNNNNNNNNNNNNNNNNNNNNNNNNNNNNNNNNNNNNNNNNNNNNNNNNNNNNNNNNNNNNNNNNNNNNNNNNNNNNNNNNNNNNNNNNNNNNNNNNNNNNNNNNNNNNNNNNNNNNNNNNNNNNNNNNNNNNNNNNNNNNNNNNNNNNNNNNNNNNNNNNNNNNNNNNNNNNNNNNNNNNNNNNNNNNNNNNNNNNNNNNNNNNNNNNNNNNNNNNNNNNNNNUAUAUAUAUAUAUAUAUAUAUAUAUAUAUAUAUAUAUAUAUAUAGGUUUCAACCGCAAGAGGUUAGUUCAGCACUAGUAAAUAUAUAAUUACAUGGCACAUGGAAGUGAUGGAACAAAGAAGUGAUACGCAAAUCAUCAAACUAUCACAUACGGCCUGAAACUUUGUGCUAAUACGUACAUAUGCCCUUCAAAUAUCCCUUAAACUUGUCAUAUUGUCAUAUAUAUUGACAUGCAUUUCAUUUGCAUCAAUGCAGAAUCAAACCCUUCGUAUAAAAUAAAAAUAAAAAUGCAGAAUCAAACCCUGACGUUAAUACAAGGAUAUUAGUUCCUAUGUCACUAACCGAUCGAUUUGGUGCAUCAAGUGCUCACCCAUGUACAAUCCCAAACAUAUGAUUCAUAUGAUAUGAAAUAGGCCAUCACAACCGAGAACUCACCGCCCCUCCUCUAUUUAACCCUGAGCUUAGAUAUCAAUCAUAUGAAACGCAUUCAUUUCCACAAGUGAAUUAAAAACCUCUGAAGGCUUAAUUAGCCGUUUAGGGUUCAUAUAUGGAUCUCUCAGUAAUUUGAAUUUGGCCACUUAUUCGAUCUUGUCAAACGAAGGACGCAAGGCAAUCUUUAGCUACUAGUUGUCCUUAGCGAUGAUCAUUAAGCACGUACGUACAGUUUCUAUAAUAAACUUUCUUAUUUCUUUCUAUUACAAUGGUUUGAAGCUUUUCUGUGCUAAUUGAUUCGUAAAGCUCGAGAGUACGUAGCUAUAUAUAUCCCAAUCAUUAAGGACCCUAUUAAUCAAAGUGAACAAUUAGCUUCAGGAUAACUGAGUAGGAAUAAUGGAGUAGCACCGGGAAAUAAGUCGGAAAAUACGUUCGUCCGGACUAAGUACGUAUGUGUGCGUCCGGACUCUCUUUUAUUUACUUUCUUUUGUCAAUGCAAAUCAUAAUCUUAACCGUUCAAAAGUUGAAUUAACCUAUAUAGAUCAUCUCUACAAAAUUUCAAUGUAAACAAACAUCGUUUUCUUAGUCGAUUACAUUAAACAAAUUGACAGUUCUAGUGAAAGUUAACAGUCUCAUGAUCAGUCGUCCAUUUGUUUGAUACAUUCGGCUUAGAAAACAAUGUUUGUUUACAUUGAAAUUUUGCAGAGGUGAUCUCCAUAUAUAGGUACGUAAAUAAGAAAGAGUUCAGACGCACACGUACAAACUAGUCCGAACGCAAAUAUUUUCCAAAUAAACUAGUCCGAACGCAAGUAUUUUCCAAAUAAGUUAAAUGACAAAAGCCAAAGUUUACAAGUACAUAAGAUUAGACCGAGUGUAAUGAUAAAAUGCGUGCACCAAAUCGGAAAUUGAGACUGAGAAUAAGAUUAAACACUCUGUAGUGUGUACUUACGUAGAGUUUAUCUAUCAAACUUGUUGUCGAAUUUGCUUUGAGGCAAAACCACCUAGCUACUUCAAAUUGGCGUGUAAGAUGAUGCUUAUAGUUGUGGACUUGUGGGUAAUGAGUUGAGAUUAAGUUAGAGUGACUGCGAGAGCGGUAUGUUGGAGUCUUCAAAAUAUAACCCAUUUUACAUUUCUCCUAUUCUAUGAUUAUUCUUUUUUCUUAUCCUAUGUUCUAUAAGUAGAUAACACAAUUGUCAAUUCUUUUAUUUUUCUUCUCUGUUCUAAAAAAACAAAAGAAUGUCUAAAUGUUGAAUCAACCAUAUAACAAAUUAAGCAAUACACUAAAAGAAGCUGCAGCUACCAGCUUGCUUUGGUCAAUUUGUUAUAUACUAAAGAUAUACCAAUUAUUCAUCAACGUCGACUCGGGUCAACGUACCACAUAGAUAUGCAAUAUGAAAGGGAAGAGUAUAUCAUCAAGGCAAACCAAAAAAGUGAAAACUUCAUUAGAAAGCAUAACGUUACAAGUACGUACAUAUACGUAGCAGCUAGUACUAUAACUUAGUACAUUGGAUCUCCCAUACUACAAAAGAGCCAUACAAGGCACUUUUAUUCCCUCGAACUGACGAACUCUACCCCUUAGCUAGCUUGAUGCUAAAACACUACAUGCCGCAUCACAUUUUUACAUACAUAUAUUGAUAUAUUUAAGCACUAGCCCUCUCGGACUGGAAAGAUCUUGAGGAGCUCAAGGCAACAGUCUCCUGCCUGUUGUACUUGAGGUUCCUUGCCUGCUGACGGUCCAUCUGGUAAGCAUUGGCGAGGACCACGUCGGGGAGUGCCCGGAGGACGGAGGUCCUGCCAGCCAAGGUGUUGAUUAUGGCAUUGUCUUGUGUCUUGAAGGCAAUGUACUCGUAUCCAUUGCUCAUGGCCUUUUGCAGCACGGCGUGGUUCUGCGGCACGAUGAAGAGCUGUCCCUGGCGGACCUGGUCGUCCAAGAUGGUCUCACCGUUGUCGUUCACCACCUGAACCCUAGCGCUGCCCCUGAUGACGUAGUACACUUCAUGGGCGUUCAAGUUCCAGUGUGGGCUGUAGAUAGCGUUCUGCAUGUACCACAUAAUAACCAUAAUUAAAACUGCUAAAUUAAACUCCACCAUAACUUGAUUAGACUUAGUUGAUAGACAAAUCAAUAUGCAUGCAUAUAUACUCACGUUGUAGAAGAAGCCUCUCUCAGCGCUGAGACGGAGGUGCCUGAGAACGGGCAUGCUAAGGCCAUUGAGGACGCUGAUGCGACCGGCUUGUGGGCUGAAGACGUCAGCCAUUGAAGGCUUGCCGAUGUUCUGCUUCAUCUUCAUGUGGCAGAAUACCUCCUCAAAACCAUUCUGUCCUUGUCGUCCUUGUUGUUGUCUUUCCUCCCUCAUUGACUCUGGGGGCUGGACGAAGUCGAGGCGUCCCUGAACCCUAACGAUCUGUGGCCUGUUGUCGUUCUGUCCCUGGAGCUGUUGGGCGGUCUGUUGGUCGAUGUUGAGAGCAUCGGCAAGGAGUCUGGUGUCGAAGCCGGCAAAGACGUUGUUGUUGUUGUUUCCCUGUUGUUGGUGUCUGAUCUUUCCCUGUUGUCUCGCGAUCGAAUGUCGGCUUUGGCCUUGUUGGGUGAACUCAUCUUGUGGGUUACCAGCAAGAUAGAAUCGCUGCUCAUACAGAUCAAGCAGCCAUUGAGUUAAACGAUUUUGUAACAUUGUAUCCAUAUAUAUAAUCAGGUGUCAGUAAGAAAAUCCAUAUAUAAUUAUAUAUUAUCAAAACGUUGAUAAGAAAAGGUACCCUUGGGAUUUGGUCAAGUUGGUUGUGAAGGUUGCUGGUGUCUUGAAGACAGACGAAAACAAGAGAUUGGUCACCGUCGUUGUAGGACCAGGUUGUGACUCCGGCGGGGACGGCGAUAACGUCACCUUCCUUGACGGGUCGCACUUUCUGGUGUCGGUCUAGCUGUUCGAAGCUCUCUUGUUGUCCCUGUUGGCCUUGUCGGCGUCCAAUUUGCUGGCGACCUUGUUGCCCUUGCCCUUGCUGUUGCGAGCCCUGUAGUUGUUCCUCGUAAGAUUGCUCGGUUUCUUCGAAAGUCUCGGGACAUCCGGGGAUCACCAUUCCUAGUUGACCCCUACCUGAAAUAGAUCACGUAUAAAAGACAGUAAGUUAACCUUGCUCAAGCACAACAUGCAAUUUAGUCAUAAGUUGAUCAGAAAAAGCGACGUUUAGAUAUUACCUUGGACAACGUAAAGGAGGCGAGGACUGUUGGUGUAAAAAGGCAAGUGAAGGCCGUUGCGCUCGACGGUGAUUCUCUGAACGGCGACUCCGGCGCACUGGAAGUCAUCCUGGUUGUAGUCCCAUGACUCGAUCCGACCCGCCUCGGUCUCAAUGCGGUUGUCGGGCUCGCGGGCUUGGAUCUGGUUCAGCAUGCACUCAUUUUGCUGGCUGGACGGAGAUUGUUGGCGAUAGGCUGAGCAGCCAUGAAAGAGAACAAGCAAGCAGAGAGAGAGAGCUAAAGACCUGGCCAUUUUGUAGAGUGGAUACUAGCUAUAGCUACUUGGGUGAGGAAGAGAGUGGAGAGGGGUUGGGAUUUAUAGGGUAGCGAAAGAGGUAAGGGAGGGACACGUACGUUGAGGAAGGGGUUGCAUGUGUAUAAGGCAUCUUCAGCCAUCUUUCUGUUUGCAUGGUGUGAAGGUUUGAAGGGUUUACACCUCAUUUCUGUGGUCUGAGGCAGGUGGCUUUGGUGAAGAAGAAGAUACAAAGUGCAUGGGAUAUAUGUGGCGAGAGGAUGGAGUCUCCAGUAUUGUCCGGAUGCAAACUGAAACUGCUUUUGAAGUUUACUGCCUUAAUUUUGGUAAAUAUGGAGAAAAAUACAUACAGUUUGUGAAAAGUAAAAUAAAUAAAGGAACUCCAUCAACUCAUCUGAACAUUGGGAAUUUGGGAUAAAUAACUAGUUAUCUCGAUCUGAUCUCAGAUAUGCAUGGCCUAAACUUACAUCCUACACUACCAUAGCUGCAAUGUAUAUUAAUACACAUGAAUCUAACCAAGCUCCUUAUAACUAGAAAAUAGAAUUGUUCUUUUUUUUCUUCUUUAAUUUGUAUCUUGGGUAUCAGUACUUUAACUGAUAUAUAACAACUGGAAAACUGUACAACAGCGUCUUGUACGGAAGUGCAAUGUAGGACGUAUUUUAUAUAGGAAAAUUCAAGGUAUUGGACUGUUUGCUAUACAAUGUAUUUUUAAAUAUUUUCGAUCAUCGGUUCUUGAAUUUUAAGAAAUAUGGUAACCGGUUUGGGGUUGUCUACGUAUAGAGAUGUGUAUAUUAUACUCAUUUUACAACUAAUUAAACCAAACUUAUAAUUUAAUGAAAAUAAAUAUACGACGAUGACAACAAACCUACCAGUUGAUUAUGUCAACUCAUUUGAAAUUACUAAUGAAGACACAUAAGCGUAAAAAAUAAUAAUAAUCCUCUUUUUCUUUCAUUACAGUAGUCUUCAUCUAGAAGAAAAAAUUCUUUUCCAACAUAAACACUAACAGAUACGUCGAACUCCAUGGAAGAUAGUGACAUUGUUUUGGAGUAUAUGCACAAUGUAUGAGUUUCUUGUUUUUUUUUUUUUUUUUUUUUGUUUCUUUUUUUGUAUGAAUUCACAAAUGUAUUAUUGUAAUUGUUUCAAUAAGAAGGAAACUUGUUGUCGACUAAGCAGAGUUUGCCCGUCCUAUUACUACAAAGAUUUUGAAGUUGUUUUUUUCUUUGUGUAUACUAAACACUCGUAAAUUUUCUUUAUUCAAAAGAAAAGUGUAUACUGACAAUCUCUUCUCCCUAAUAGAAAUAGCUUUAUGAUAUAGCGGCAAAAGACAAAUCUUGAGUUUUGGAUUUCGUUAUAAGAACUUGAUAAUUUUAUAAGAAAGUAAAUUAAUGGGUUGUUAUAUAUAGAGCUUGAGUAUAUAUACAUGGACUCUUUUUGAUAAUUUUAAGAGAAUGUUCUAGGAUAUUCUGUAUCUUUCUAGAUAUUCUUUAUGUGUGCAUUGGCCUUAUGCCAAUAGGAUAUGUAGUUAGACUAAUUCUAUGUAUUCAUAUCCUUACCAUAUUGGUAUUGUGUAAUUCCCUAUAUAAAGGGCUCAUAUCAAUGAAUAAGAUGAUGAUUCUCUUGCUAUCUCUUUCUCUACACUUUAUAUUUCAUCACGUUAUCAUGCACUUUGUUAUAACCCUAGAGCCAAUAGCCCACCAUUUGUUUUCCAAACCCUAAAAUCUGACAGCCUUGUUUUUCCUGAUUUCCGACCAAAAUUCCGACUGCCCUCUGCCGGAGUUUUAUAUCCCCAGAAAGCUCUCUCCGUCCUGGAUCCAACGCCGCCGGCCUCACCCUGAGAACCGGCCGGAAAGUCUUCGAACCGGCCGCUAGAAGAUUCCAGACCGCCGCCGCUACCGACCACCGGUUCACCACCUUCCCUUGCUCCGAUCAACCUGAAAUUUUGACAGCAGCUUCCCCAUCCAGAGCUGCUCAUUCUGUCAAAUUUUCAGCCCCAAAUUCGAAGUAUAAGUAGGCGAAACGUUAUUUCUCCUCUCGGCAGCCUCUAGAAACCAAAGAUUUCAAGAUUGGUCGUCUUCCAAGGAAACCAGAAAGGUAUGUUUUGAAACCUUAAACUUUUCCAAGUUCAAUAACUCGGGGAGGAUAAAAUCUUUUCCGCCCUUCUCUAUCUCCAUUCUAUGCUUGGGAUUUUGUGUGUGCAGGUACCAAAAAUCCCGGAAUUUUAUUCGCGGGUCAAGAGUGUAUUUGAUCACUCUUGCUUCCUUGUCCAGGUUGUGUAUGAUCAACCCCAACCUUUCUCCGGAUUGUGUUUGAUCAAUCCGAGGCCUUUUCCGAAUUGUGUUUGAUCAAUUCGCGACUUUUUCCGGAUUGUGUAUGAUCAAUCCGAAGGACAAACCAUUAAAAGCAUUGUUUGUGACCUCUAUCGAGUCUCAUAACAGCUUGGUUUUGUAUGCAAGAGCAACGUAACAUUCUGCUCAUUGAGUUUUGACGUACUCGAUACCUAAGACGAAUCUUCGCUUGGUAUCUGUGGAACAUUUCACUGGAAAGGAUUAAACAACAUAUUUUGACCCCCAGGCUAACAAGCCUAGAUGCCGAGAUUUCACAUCUCAUGCGCUCAAAGUCUUUGACGCGCCACAUCGACAAGCCUUCAAUGGCAAUCUGUGUAAAAAGUAAUGACCACAAAGUACUAUGGAAUGCACUCAUGGAGCGUUUCUUGAAACGUCCAUAUAACUCUACUUGUUGAGUUAUUAGUCAAGUGGAUUACUUACCGCCUUAAUUGACUACAUAUUGUCGAUGAUCAUUUGUGGCAUCAUGAUCCAUAACCUUUAGCGGAUUCGAUCAUCAUCAAGUUCUCUAGGUCCUCCAAGUUGGUUUGGAAUUACCAACGAGACUUGAUUUUGAUCAUACAAACGGGAAUUGUAUAUAUACGCUAAUGUGAUAAAUUUAUUUAGGAUUAUCCCCUAAAUGUGGGAACAACAAUAUGGGUCAUGACAACGGCAGAAAACGUCGUGCCGAUGUCUAGAAAAGAGGGGGAGGUGUCACCGGCUCUAAUAGCAACACUCCCGGUCUAGACACCAUUUUGUCAAAACUACUCACGUCAGCUCAUGACAACGCAACCAUUGUGGAUCUUCGGAUCACUGGUUCAAGAUUGUCAAGCUCCUUCAAAUUGUGAAUGCAUACAAAAAGGUAUAGAAAAUCAAUAUGAGGACAAGAACAUCAUCCUCAUGAUCGCGAAUUUCAAAGAUUCGGAUCCUGCUCUAGCUACCCAUGACUUUGACGUCAUCGACUAGACAUUGAUUUUCGUUCCAAGCUAUAUGUACUAAGGCGUUGAGACCUUGAUGUACUCACAUUAGCAAUAACGAAUGCCUUGAGAAUUUUUUCGAAGUUAUAAAACUAUUCUCCUCUUAUGGUUCGUAUUGAUUUACAAACAAGAUUUACAUUUUUACAUCGUCCUUAGAAGCAUGGCAUAUUUACAAUCUACAUGGUUAGAUUGUGCAGUUUUGGUCUCUUCCAAGUGGAGAUGACGCACGCCCUUGCAUCCUUAAGUAGGAUCGCUAACGUGUUUCCGGUUAAGUCUUCUACCCUAUAGCAGAUUUUUCAUCAUCAAUUGUUCAACUAGGCUCAUCCAAGCUCAGUGUGAUGUCUUAGAAUUGCCCGAAAUUAAGGAGAUAGUGGUUUCAAGUGUGCCUCGCACUACCGACCCUCCACGGACAUGCCUGGUCAUACUGACUUGGAGUUACCGAAAGCUUUUGAUUUUGGAUCCCCCUACGCUAUUAAACCAAUUGCCGUCUUGCAAAAGAUGUUGAAGACUUAUCAAAAACCGGAAAAUUAUCAUCAUGAUCUAAUCCUCUAGGUCCUCUGAGUUAGUUUAUGUUCAUGUCAGGGAGAUUUUGCUAACUAGUCAUGGAGUUUACGACCUUAGAAUGACCGAAAGGACUUUGUUUUGAUCAUACACACGUCACUUGUGGCUAAGGCAAAAUCCUACACGCCACUUGCAAGCUUCACAGCUUCGCACAUGCCAAUUCUGCGAAAAACAGCAAUCUGUCCCUUCUGGACAGUCAACUUCGUUUGCGUUUUGUGAACAGCUCCGGACGAACCAGACAAUAAGCUUUAUAUCAUUGGAAAGCUCUAUGAGUCUAGUUUUCAGAACUUUUCGCGGUUCAUCUAUAUCUAUUUUAACAAGGAAGUUAUGGCUGUUUUAGUGCGCAAAAGUCAUUCUGCGCGGAAAUUUUUAUGCACUCUCGGGAUUGCAGCUUUUCGUAGCUUCUUUCAAUCCUUCUAAAUAGUUCAAGUGGAACUAUUAACUAGCCUAUCUACUCCUUCUUGUAGAUAUGUCUCAUCGAGACAUUGAGUGCUUCGCAGAUAGUGGAACUAUCCAUAACAUUCUAAGGAACCGGCAACUAUCUUUGGAUUUUGUGUCUUUGUAAAUCUUCUGUGACUACAAUGAUUGAAUCAUACCGGUCAUUCAAGGACGCGGUUUAGCUUAAAUCUUGAUGCCUCAUGGAACCAUGAUCAAUGUCACAGAUACCCUCUAUGCAUUGAGAGGCAAUCGAACCAUAUUGAGCUCUAAAGACAUUCCUGCUAAUAGUUUUCAUUUGAAAACACAUUGUGAGAAUGAACAAGAAUUCUUUUGUGUAUACCUUCUCAUGAAUGCGGACUGAAGUGCAUCUUGGAGAAAUUCAUGAGUCAAUCUAGUGGACUGUAUGUCACUAUGAUUCGAAUAUGAUUCGAAUAUCGAAUCUCAUGUUGUCACCAAACAUGAUAUUUGGGACACUGACUCAUAUAGGCUUUGGUUUUAACCAAUUAAGGUCAUCCUAGAAGAGAUAUAAUGGUCCAAAUUUUGAGAAAUUCUCAUGGACAUCCAUUCUUCCGCUCAAAACAAAGACAUUCGAGAUCUAGCAUCACCAUGAAGCAUGGUGGUGACCCGGGGGACAUUGACGUCACCCGAACAAGGCUCCAACUUCCCGGAGGCCGUCCGGUCAAUUCCUCAAGCAACUGAGGUGCACCAGCCUUUCCUCGAUGUCGCAUUGGCCCCCUGCAAUGCUUAUUACUCGUUUUGAAAGCCUAUUAUUUAGCUAAAUUAGGAGUGAGACCCUCCUACGCUAAAUAACACAAAAGUGAACAUUCUAUUCUUACAUAAAAUUAUGUAGAUAGAUACAACCAACUUGCGAACAUCUUUUAUGUUUUAUGGUGUUGGUUGAAGUGUUAACACACUGGUCAUGUGUUACACUAUUAUCUACUGCUUAUGUUGCUUAUACUUCUACGGGCUCACUACCCAUUCUUUAAAGAAGUUUAUCGGGAUGUAAGUUGAAGUGUCCUGUACCCCAUGUUCACACGCAAUACGGUCUCACCGAGGCUACGACUAAGCAACUUUAGCUUGUCGCUCGAACAUUAUUGAUGCGCACCAAUCUUUCUAUUGCGUCUUGGGGCUAUACAAUAUUUGCAUGCAGCUUUACUAUUCAUCUACAACUCACCAUCAUUGAAUAUUUUUGUACUACAGCUCGUGACUGUGUACCAGGAUUGCAAUCCUUGAGCUCAAACAAGAUUGAAACGGAUCUCCAAUCCUUGAGCUCAGCUAGAUAUUUAUUCUAGGUGUCAAAUCGCACUGCCACUGAAGGACAAUGAUGGGUCAUUUGAGAUGAAUAAGUAUUUAGGUUGGAUAUGAAUCUCCACCUAUAAUCCGCAUAUGUAGAAACCUUGUCAGACGAUCUCUUUCACCGCUAUAUUGCGGAUUGUCACUUUGAUGAGACAAUAUUCUCGCCGUUAGGGGGAGAUAAGAGCACAAGUGUUCAAGUGGAACGACGUGAAUUGUCGUGGUUUGUCCCCACUAAGUCUCAUCUUGAUCCCAAAUGCUUAAAGUGUUAAAGUGACGAGAUCACAUGCAGCAAAUAUGUCUGUAAGGAUUGAUGUCCUUUUCAAAGGACAUGGCGCGACCAAAAGGUGUUGGUCUUGACGCCAUCACCAUGGAUGGUGAUAUAGUGACGCCAUAUAGUGGCAAAAUUGGUGUCACAAAGCCGUGUGGCUCCCUAAAAGGAAGGAGACCUUUAGGUUCGAUACUUUCUCGCACUAGAAAGAAAACGAGCUUGGCACAACCUGAUCCAUUGAUCAGUGAUACUCAAAUCCGUCUCAUGAAGUCUGAAUUGUGAUUAUCGUUGGGGGACGCCUCAACGUCAAAUCCAAUCCAUAUAGAGAUCUCUACACGUAUUACACUAGUGUACAUGAGGACGUGGGAUAAUGAGUCUACUAUCGAACCACCCUUCGUUGAUGGAUAUCAACUUAGUUGAUUGGCCUAAUGGAAAGAUGUGAUCCAGCAUAACAAAGAGAUAGGUCCUUGGGCAGGUGAUGCCGACACCGCAAGCUAAACCCUAUCAACUAUGCCUUUGUUAGAUAACGUAGUGAGAACAAGAGCUUAGACUCACCUUAUGACGCAAGGUAUCUCACUAACACGCACUGAGAUCGACUACGAUAAGAUAUGCUUUCGUAAUGGAUGUCAUUGAACUCCACUACUUUGUCAGUUUGGUAGUUUCCGAAUAACUGAACAAGCAGCCUAUGAAUGUGAUCGUAAUAACAUCUCUACGGGAUCAGAGAUAUGCAUGAAGGUCUUGAACAGACUUCAUUCAUCCAAAUCAAGUGGCUCCAGACCACAGGAGCAUGUGUUUGCUAAAUGUAUUGAAACGCACAUGGACUCCACUUGAUUUGGAAGGGAUAUGGUGAAUUAUGCAUUUGCGUGUUCAUUCAAGAUUUACAUGGACUCUUGAUGGAUCAAGAGAUGCCAAUAUGUAUCAACAUCCGAAGAAAAAGAUCUUGGGAAGACACGGUCUCGAUAAGACACUCGAUGACUGUAUUGAUGAUGAUUUUUCAUCAAUCGGCUUAGGUGCUCUAACGAAAGUGAGGCCUACAUAUACUCCCAUGAUUAGUCAAAGUCUUUACUCUAAAGAGAGAUCCGUUGUUUUGUCUAAAGCAUGAUGACAAAUAUGUGUUAAGAGAUGGAGUUCCCAUCUAAGUACAAUUAGACGCAUCAAUGUACUCAACACAAUAUGAAAGACUUGACAUCUCAUUCGCUAUGAAAAGUUGUAAAGCUAAGUAUAGUUAUGCGCCCACGUAACGCCAAUGUAAUGGCAGUAACUCUUUUUUCAAUACUUAAUGGUAUGAAAGGUUGAGGCUAAUUCUAUCCCUACAUAAGAAAGACACAUCAAUAGCGAAAUCAAAAUCUGCCAAGUUUCGUAGGUCAACUUCCACGGGACCUACAAGAAAUCUCACUCACUAGAAAAUGGUGAAAUUGGUACCAUUGGAAAGUUCUAUGUGUCUACUUUCCAGGGACACCAACCAUUUGUUCAUACCUAUCAUAUUGAGUGAGUUAUGGCCGUUUUCAUAAAGUAUGACGAAUCUGUCCGAGAAUCUGAUUUUGGCAAAACAGUCAACUUCGACGGGACUUUGUGAAUAGCUCCUGAUGAAUCAGAACAUGUGUAAUAUACAGUUGGAAAGCUAAAUGAGUCUAGUUUCCAAAACCGUUUACGGUUCAUUCAUAUGUAUUUCCUAGAGGAAGUUACGACUGUUCUAGUAACUGAAGGUCAUGCUGCGCGGAAAUCUGAUUUCCUGCACAAACUUAUGUUUUGAGUUCACAAGCGGCCUUCUCCUCAAGAUCUAAGUGUAAAAGAUCAUUUGAGGACAAUACGGCAUGAUUUAGUUAAUCAUUGCCUAAUGCCACAUUUGAAGACAUGUUAAAGAGCAUUGACAUGCUAAGUUGUUGAAAUUUCCGUGAUUAGUAAAAAUCAGGAAUAGCCCUAUGAUUGAUGUAAAGAUCAGGGGGAGGUGCAAACUUCAGGGGGAGUCUAGCACAUACAUACAUGUCACUAUCAAAUGUGAAUGGUGCGUUGUACUCUUUUUCUCCUACGAUCAAGGUUCAGUUUUUCUCCCACAUGGUUUUUGUGACUUGACGAGGUUUUUAACGAGGCAACAGAUCAGCACCAUCGGCAUAUCAGAGCGGCACAAGGGGGAGUGUUCUAGGAUAUUCUGUAUCUUUCUAGAUAUUUUUUAUGUGUGCCUUGGCCUUAUGCCAAUAGGAUAUGUAGUUAGACUAGAUCUAUGUAUUCAUAUCCUUACCAUAUUGGUAUUGUGUAAUUCCCUAUAUAAAGGGCUCAUAUCAAUGAAUAAGAUGAUGAUUCUCUUGCUAUCUCUUUCUCUACACUUUAUACUUCAUCAGAGAAUAAUGUUUUUCUUGAUUUUAUUGGACUAUGGGCGUUCUGGGAAAAUUGAGGAGGUGUAUAUAACAUUUUAGUUAUUUGUAAAAGUAAAUUUGAGGUCCAUUAAACAAGAAGAUCCAACAGCCGUUUUUAGAGAUAUAAAUAGAACCUCCCAUGACGGAAUGAUAUUACAGUGAAGUUGAAAAAAAAAAAAAAAGUCACAAUGUGCUUGACCUAUAUAUAUAUAUAUAUAUAUAUAUAUAUAANNNNNNNNNNNNNNNNNNNNAAAAAAAGUAAAAACUAACAUAUGNUNUACUACUAUAUAUAUAUAUAUAUAUAUAUAUAUAUAAACCAUACUUUCUUGUAUCAUCUUCAAAAAUAAGGUUCAAAUUAACAGCUAAACAAAACAUCGAUUAUCGUACGUUAAUGUUUCCUUUAGUUAUAGACUACUAGCAGAAAUCCGUAAUAUAUAUAGCUCCACAAUAACUAGUAGUGAAGUAUCUACGUGCAUGCAGAGCUAUCUAUUUGUUCUGUACAUGGGAAUGGUGGGUUUGGCUUUAUACCGAUAAAGAACUCUCCUGUCCUUGAAAUUCCAGUUCUCAAAGGUCACGAAUAUCUUCCCUGGUUCACUAAAGUAGAAGGAGUUUCUCACACUCUCUCCUUGCAGUCUCUUCUUGUCUUGGAUUAGAAUGUUGUACGACCCUUCAUCAUCAGGAAGGAACUCUUCCUUGUACAACACGUCCCAUCCCACCACAGUUAGAUCCCACACCAUUGUCAAUCCACCCUAAUCAAAUGAAAACACCCCAAAAAAUGAAAAUUAUUAGUUAACAACAAGAUUCAACUCAUCAUUCGAUUAAACACGCGAUUAAUGACGAGAAUUAGUACCUCAACAACUGGAAUUUCAAUAUAGUUGAUUGUGUUUGCUUUGAUUAUGAGCUCAGAUACUUUGUCCUCUGGUGUGAACUCAUCAUCUUGCUCUCUUUUGAGGCCACCAUAUUGAACUGGGAGUUCUUCUGGUUCUAUGAACCUUUUUUUUCAUAAUCAUUUCCAUGCAAAGUAACUUGUGUAUUAGAGACACGGAUGAGAUACUAAUGUAAUUGGAUAGUUUCAAUUUUUUGAGUAGUAAUCUCACUCACUUGAGAAGGGUCUUUGUAACCUUUUGGGAUCUAGCAAAGAUGAACGUCUUCUUAGUUCUGUGACUUAGAAACCUUGAUCGGAGCACAUGAGACACAUAAUACCAAAGUGGAGCAUUGAUAACAAUCUGCCAGUGGAAAGCAAGAAAUUAACAUAUACCACAUUGUAAUUAGCAAGUGCAGAGUUUUGCUACUUACAUUCUUUUGAAUGAGCUCAGGAUAGUUGUCCUGUAACAAGAGCAGAGUUUUGCUACUAAGCGAACGAAGCUCCUUAAAAUCGGGGCCUGGGGAAUCCUUCAAAUCCGUAAUCUGAACCAUCGAAUCAACCCCUCUCUUGAAGUUGAGCUUCUUGAUUCCCUUUUCAAUGAAUUGAACUCUCCACCUCAAAAACUGUUGGCGUCUUGCUUCAGACCCGAAUGUUUUCUUGUACAAGUCUUUGUCCUUGAAAGGUCCAUACGAAGUGUAACACAAAGGGUGGCCAUCUUUGUCUCUACUAUUUAUGCACACCACGUCUUCAAGACCAGAGACUCCUAAAUCUUCUUCCAGAAUUUCAUCAGUCCUGAAUUCUUUUCGCCAUUUCAGGGUUCUUUUCAGCAUUUCAAAUGCGUCGCUGGUCUUGUAAUCCCGGGCUUUCAAGAAUUUGAGGAGCAAAACAUCAGUGCCUUGAUGGCCUUUGCUUGGCAACAAAGGCACACCCCAUAGGGUAAUCUCCUUGAGUUGUUCUUUCUGCCUCAAGCUUUCAUUUCGGCUAAUCCUUCUGCUGGGUUUUCCGAGAAUGUAAUUCCCCAUAAUUGCAUCUUCAACUCUGCACCGGAAUUCCAUCAAGGCUUUCCUCUUCUUCUUCUUCAUUGACGCAGAAGCAGCUUUGGUUUCCUCAUCAUCCUCUAUAGCUCUACGUUCAACAUCUUCUUCAUCACUAUCCGGACAUAAUUCCCGGGGGCUUUCCAAGAUGUAGUCAUUAGGCUGAUCAUAAUUUCCCAGAGGCGAGUCAAGCUCUUGCUCUCUGCCCUGGUAAUUAGCUUCAUUUUUCAUUUUGGGUCUCCUGAUCAUUCAUCUCCCAUUGUCAAAUAUAGAGGAGAUUGAAAUCCCCGGCAUUCAGAGUUUCCGGGGAAACUGAAUAUUGGUGGUGCUCGGAUUCAAUGAUGGGGAGUUGAGAACGACGAACACAAAAAGUUUACAUCUUUCCUUUCUCUAUUACCUCAAGCUCAAGAAAGGCCUGGCGCCAAAUUUAGGUUGGACAAUCGUAGUAACUAACGGUGAGAUUGGAACAGGCUUUUUUACAAGUGUUUUAAACUUUUAUCCCCAAUUCAUCGGGCUUGGCUGGCAUACAAUUAGUGGUUGUUGUAAAUAGAUUAGGUUCCAAAUGCAAGUCAAAUUUAGUAUUUGAGUUUCAACACUAAACCCUUAAUCCAACUCGUUGCCUAACAAUGUGCAAGAAUCACUGUCCAAGUCAAAAUUUUGCCUUGCUGGGAUAAGGGAUCUAAGAACAUCUCCAAAAAAGAGAUAGAAAAACACAAUUGUACAAAAGCAACACCAUGGAAACGGUGUUAUGUCGUAAAGGUGCAACAAGUUAUUCAAGUUAUUAGAUUUGCAAAGGUCACCAUCUGUCCUCAAAAAAGGUCACAAACUGAUCUCCACUGUCCUGGUAUGGGAGGCAUUGACAAUAGAAUGAGAAGAACGAAAGAAAAGGGGAACAACUUACAAGCUAAUACUAAACAGAUGGUUGCUGGAGAAAGAAAAGAGACAAUGGCUGAGAUUAAUCCUCUACAUUCUGGGAAGUUCGAUGCAUUAUCUUGUCCUCCUUGACUAAUUCACAACCUGUAGCAGUGAUUUUUACAUCCUAAUACAGCGAAACCUAACUGCUGAUUUCCAUGCCUAUGAAAAGAAUGUAACCUGAACGGCCGUUGAAAUCUUGUAAUCAUAUUUACAGUGAAAUGGGAUGUGAAAUGAUUGAUCUGUAUCUAUAUAACAAGUCAUUAUCCAACUGCAGACUGGGAGCUGCUGCAUUACUCCUCUCGAAAUCUAGUCAAGUCAAAUGACAUGGUUUUGGAACAACUGCAAUAACAGCAGCACAAUUAGCGCGUUAAGAAACUAUAAUAUAAAUCCUCAAGAUAUAACCAUGUGACGUGCUCAAAUUCUUGUCUGAUGCUCACCUCAUGUCAGCGUCCCUGAAAACCCCAACCAGAGCUUCAGCCUUGUCAUAGAAGCUAUCUUUUAGAGAUAUUACAAUACUCUGAAAACCAUUGCCUCCUUCCGUAUCCUGGUUAACCCUGGCUCCUUGGCAAGACUUUGAACGGAUGAAUCGAGCAACUUUUGCUACAUUUAAGUUAUCCAGUGCAGCAUCAACUUCAUCCAGUAUGAAGAAAGGCGAAGGCCUAUAGCUGAAGCAUUCAUGAAAACAAAUGUGGAAAAACAAUUAAUUACAGGCUCUUAUCUACAGUGUAAAAGAGUAGAAACCAAAAACUAGAACAAAACUUUCGUAGUGGAACAGCGUACAUAUUGGUGAAAGGAAGACCAAAAGCCAGAAACUCCACAAUCCCCACCCAAAAAUAUUCAUAACUAUUGAAGCAUGUGCUCUAUGUAUCUACUGCAAGGCCUACCCAGAAUCUUUUGUUCUUGGAUGUCUUUAAAGGUAAACACUAUAUAUGAUUAACAUAUACCUGUGUAUGGCAAACAGUAAUGCUAAUGCUGCAACAGUUUUCUCUCCGCCAGAUAAUUGUUCCAUAUCUCGAAAGCGCUUUGUUGGGGGCAUAGUAGUGUACUUGACGCCAUGUAGAUAUGGAUCAUCUUCAUUUUCUAAAUUCAAAUAUGCCGUCCCACCAAGUGGAUGUGUAUUGCUCUUCGUCAGUUGCUUGUAUAUCUUAUCAAUAUUACUAGAAAUAUGGUUGAAGGCAUCCAUAAACUUCUCAUACCUGCAUUGACCAAAUAAACCAUUACAAUCAAAUGUCAGGGAAAAAAUAGAAAUCAGUUGCGUAGUGGGCAUAUUUGUCACUUACGUGAUGAUUUCUUUCACUUUCUGUCGACAGUAAACAUUGACCAUUCCUAUUACUAGUUUCUAUCCAUAAAGUUUGUCUUACGAAACCCAAUAAUGUGCAAUCAUGUAUAGUCAACUACAUUAUGAUAAUUAGACAAUCCAGUAGCAGUGUAAAAGCAAUCAAUACCUGCUUUGCUUAACCGAGUUAAACAGAUCAGCCUUUUGCUUCUGUUCUUUUCUGGCCACUUCAAACUCUGCAGUUAUAUCUCUUUCCUUUUCUUGUAGAGCCUCAUAUUGGUCCAUGGCCUUCAAAUUGGGAGCUGUUCUUUCUAUUUCUGAUAGCUUGGCAUCCAUUUGUUUCUUAAAGUCUAACUCGACUUUCUCCCGCUCAGAAGGCCUCCUAUCUCUCAAUAGAGACUCAUCUAACUCAUCAAAAUCAAAUACUGGGCCCGUUGUGGAGGAGUCAGUCUCCAUUGGAUCUGAGAUGAUAGGAAGGCUUAUUUGCUGAAGUUCACAAUUUUCUACUAUCUCCUGCUUCCGAGAUGUUAGCUGCUCAAUCUGAGUUUCCUGUAAGGCACGAAAAAAAUGUUUAGGGAUUCAAAUUAACAUGGUACAGAAGUGUCGCAAACAAAACCAAAUGCCAACCUUAGAAUUUAUCUGUCGAUUAAGUUUGGAUACAUUUGUUGUAGCAGUAGAACCCCGCUUGUUCCAUUCUUGAAUUUCCUUUUCACACCCUUCCGACUUGGAUUUCCACUCUACAUUAAUAGUGAGAGAUACAACUUUAUGAACUAAAAAGAAAGGAUAAAGUGGGUUUGCGACUCGUUUGAACAACUUGGGAAAAAGACAGAAAAAGAACAACAACCAUGAGAUCAAGUCCCGCGCUCAAGGCCUAAAAUCUGAGAAUUUAAGUUCUCCAAAAAAAAUACAGUACCAUGCCGAACUUUUAUCAUACCUUGUGCAUCUUCCUUCAACUGCUCAAUCUCAGCAGAGGCUUUUUCAGCUGCAGAGUUGGCUUCAAAUUCUUUCUUUUGAACCCAUUCUAAAUCUUUUUGUAGAUUACUAAUAGAUGAUUGGAGUUCUUCAAUUCGUGUAGCCAUGUCCCGAUUUUGCUCAUACUCUAGCCUGAAAGCAAACAAAGACCAGUAUUUUACCAUAAAAUAUGAGCAAGUGCCAAAGCUGUCAUACAACAAGUACACCAGAAACAAUAGUGGUGAAACUGGGCAGAUUGUUUGGGUUUGAUAUUUGAGUACUUCAAUAGAACCUGUGGUCAAUCUAAAAAGUUAAAACAAAAUUUUCAAAGACUUUACAGCCCUACAAAGAACUUGUAACUGGACAGCGUCAAACAUCUCUCAUCUUUAGUGAUCACUGCUUUCUAAAAAAGUCGUGUGAUAAUAGACACGACAGCGUUCUUUAAAGAUGAUCAAGACACAUCAAAAAGAAUAUAUGGUGGGGAGCGAGGAAAACCAACUGACUAAUUGGCCCAAUACUUGUAGUUGGUUGUUUCCUCAGUCAAAGUACUUGUAGUUCAUCAGAAUGUUAAAGCACAAUUUGAAGAUGCAUAAAUGCAUGCACAUUCAUACAAUAGUGUGGGAAUCAAUGAUCAAGUUAUAUAUCACAUAAUUCAUGCAUGUGUCCAACAUAAUAUACACAACUCACAUUCCACUGUAUGCCCAAAAUAAAAUAAUUACCAACAUACAACAGUAAAAUUGACAAAAGAUAAAAUAUAGGGAAGAACAUACUGGUAUUUCAAUUUUGAUAGCUGGCUACUCAAACUAAGCCUCUCUUCAGCCAUAGAUUGGGAAACCUUGAGUUGUUUUUCUUCAUACUCACGAAUGUUAUCUACCCCAACAGAUUUACUAAAGCCUUUGUAGAGUCUGUCAACAAUAUCAUUUAUCCUCUUCUCAAGCUUAUUGAUUUCUGUGCUCCGCUUAUCUACAGCUUGUUUUAGCUGCAAUCAUUUUUAAAACUGCUGUGUGAAACAAAAUGCUAGAAUAAGCUAGAGAAAACAGUAAUCAGGGAAAUACCUUCAGAAGAUCAGGACUGAUACGAUCAAUCUCUUCUUUUAUGUUCUGCCUCUCCCGCGCCAAAUUUGCAAGUUUGUCCUUGAUGCUUUUCUGUGAAAAAACUCAUCUUAGUUUUGAAUCCACUAGAAGGAACCUCAUGUUUAGCUUAAUUAAGAUAUAUCAAAGUAAAAGACUGAAAAACUAUUCACCCACCCUCCCACACCCAAAGCACAAAGGAAAAACUAAAAUAGAAUAAAUAGCAUUCAUCUCCACUUUAUAAUUAAAAGACCAAUACCAACCCUUCCCAUCAAGUCUAAUUCAUCUUAUUUGAUAAACCACACACAAGUGACACAACCAGACAUAAAACAGCUUCAAAGUUCAACCUGCAUCUUCUAGAUUUGGUGUCUGGGUAUGGAUAUAAAACUACCUUACCUGUAGAAUAGGAGUGAAAAAAAAAAGAUACAAGUAAAUCCUUGCAAUUACCUUCUCAAUAUCUGCAUAUUGGAUUUUCUUAUCAAGCCCACUAAGUCUGCCAGCUGUUUCAGACUCUUUUAGCUGCAUCUCUCUAAUUGACCCAAGCUCUUCUAGCUCCAACUCAAACUGUUCUUUCUUCUUCUUCAGUCCUAAACAACAAACAGUUAAACCACAUCAAAAAUUACCAGACCAAAAUUCAAAUGACAAUACAGCAAUUCAAAACUCACCUUCGACUUUUUUAUCAUCCCACUGUUUUGACCUAGCUUCCAUUCCUCCACUGGUACCACCAGUCAUUGUGCCAGAUUUUGACAGCAUAAUUCCAUCAACAGUUACAACUAAUUAAAGGGGGAAAGAGAAAAAAAGUUAGAUGCUGGCUAAAUAAAAACAUGCCUGACACAGAUACUUAACGAUAACAAAGUUGAACGCAUUACCUUUGAACCUCUCACCACUCCAGCUUAGGCGCUUAGCCUCAUCAAGUUCGUCACAAACGAGAGUAUUGCCAACCGCAAAGAGAAUAGCCUUCUCCAAGGCAUGAUCAAAUGUAUGGUUGUUAAGUAGACAAACUAAUAGCACCUCUUCGUAGAUUCUCAUGCAGAAAAUAGUUUUCUUACAAACAGAAAAACAUACAAGGAAUACAGGCAACAUACAUCAAGGACAGUACAUAGCAUAGUGAUCAGGAGGAUGAUCUAAAACAAUAGCUAACCACGAAAUGAUGAAGGUGUGAGCGUGCUUCUAUGCAUUAACAUGUUCCAUCUAAAUAAAUGCAGAGACGAUACUAAUCUGGAUGAUUAUACUCAAACUCUUUGUGGGAGAAAGCCAGAGGAAUGAUGAGUUACAUGAAGAAAACUUGUGCCAUAAAUGGAAGAAAAGAAUGAGAACAGAAAAUCAUCCAAGUUGAAAGGGAAAAGAAUUAAAUAAUUUUUUUUAAAAAAAUCAACAAGAAUAAAACACAUAAUGGGAUCCUAAUGCAAGUCUAUAAUAGAACACAAGUUGUUCAAUUUUUUUAGUUAUUUAAAAGUUCCAUAAUUUCUUCUAGAAAAAUAUAUGUUUUCGAUAACCAGAGUUCCACUACCCAAAAACAAUAAUGCACCAGAAAUUAGCAGCACUAACCGGCCCAGAUCAAAGAUACUCUCUUACUGCAUAUGAUGGAAAACAUGAAAAUGUAAUACAACAUAUAUAUACACACACAAAAAUAUAUGUAGUUAUGUAUAUAGAUCAAUCACACAUAACAUCUCUGCCUAUUUCUAUGCAUACAAAUAAAGAGCUAUACAAUGUGCACUACACACAUCCUUUUCACACAGACAUGCAUGCAUGCAGACAAACACCAACAAGAUUACACAAAAAUGUAAAUCUUCAACUACAGAGUUCGGAACAAACAAAAGUUUGGACACUAAACCAAUGUAGGCUUUUGUAGAAGCAAAUAUCAAGAAAAUAACACAUAGAUUUUAUUUGAUCUCUACUGUACCGUAAGAUGAUAACCAUGACAAAGAAUUAUUGAAUUUUUGCUCUCAAGAAAGCAUGAUGAAAGGAUAUUGAACAACAUCAAAAACCAGCUUUGCAGUACCACCCAAGUUACGCAGUCUCUCCAUUACUUGCUUUACACGAACAGAUUGGAGAGGUAUGAAUGUCUGAGGAGGAAGCCUUUGUUCUUUCAAAUACUGCAGAAAUGCAAGGAUCAGUAUCAGAACCGCAUUCACAUGAAUGAUAUAAUAUUCAAACUUUGUCAACAUAUAUUUCACAUUGGUACCCCAAGUAAUCAAUAAAACUGUCCGUAUCAUUAGAUAUUUCAAUAUUCAAACACACAAAAAACCAACAGACUCAAACAGGAUAAGAGAAAGAAAAAAAAUUAAAUCUCUUGAUUUUCCUAUAAUCUAUUUUCUUUAUUUUUAUUCUGAUUGCCUUGCAACUACUGUGAUGUGAAUAAUCAUUAUAAAAAUUGAGAAUUUAAAAUCUUAAUUUUACCAAUGAAAUAAGGAAGGCAAUCUUAACAAGCUAGUGUAAGCAUUCUACAAGAGCGAAAAGAUGAGAACAUAUAUCACCUUGAUACACUCCUUUCCUGUUUGUUCAUCUUCAACUACGACUGCAUCCAUAAAUUUUCCCAUGGCAACAGUGACAGCAAGAUUAUACUUCUUUUGUGUUGGCCUACAGAGUUCAGUCAUGCGACCAUGGACACCCUGAAACAAGCGCUUGAGAGUCUCUACUGCCUGAGACAACCUGGAAUCCCUCUCAUUCUCAUAUCUAUCGGCCUUCAGUUCACGUAAUUGCUUCUCUAAUUCAUCAAUUUUUGACUUCAAAUUUUCAUACUUCUGUCUGUAUAUCCAUAAAAAGGAUAAUAGUAAACAUACAAAUCAUCACAUUUUGCUAGUGUCUUGUAAAAUAAGUAAAUAACAACCUAAAGAAGAGAAAAGAAUGGAGAAAUUUAAUCAAAUGAAUAAAGGGGAAUGAGAAGCACCAGGCAACACAUGCCAAAACCUUAGCAGAACGUAUGAAUGACUCUUAAAAAGCAUAAAUUUAAAAAAUAAAAAUAAAAAAAAGCAAGCAUACAAGCAAGUUGAAUAACCUGGCAUUCUGAUGUUUAUCCUUCAUCACAAGCAAUUCAUUAUUCAGACUUUUUACUUCCUCUCUGUGUUUUGCAGAGUUAUCUUUAAUGUUUUUCAGCCUUGUCAGCAUUUGCUUAUUCUGUGAAUCCAGUUCACUCUCCCUACUUCUCAACUGUUCAAGAUUUUCUUCCAAAUUCUUUUGAGCUUCAAGAUCAGCAUGCUGUUGCCGAUCCAGAACCUCUUUCUCAUCUGUUAGCUUCGCAGUUUUCAUCCCAGCAUCCUCCUUCCUGUGACAUCAGCAUACCAUUAAUAUUUACAAAGCCUAUCAAGGAGAGCCUCUAAAUCCUAAGUUAUAUGGUCCAGUGAAGGUAAUUUAGAAAGUUCAUGAAGAUCGAAAGGUAGGCAGGAAACUGACUUCAAUUCUCAGCUCAAAAUUGAAAAGUAACAUGGCUUUUGGUUAAAGAAACAGAACUUCAUCUUUAAAACGUAAGGAAUGGGACACUAUCAUCACACUGAGAUGCAGUAAUAAAAUUAAACAGAGAUUACCAAACACUUACACUUUAAAAUAUUCCCUCAAUUUAGUAUCGUCUAACUGUAAUUUUUCACCACCGUCUCGUCCUUUUUCAUGUAAAUCCUCUAGUUGAGUGGUCAAAUCUUGGAUGCCCUUCUGCAGCUUUUUAAUUUCCUCUUUAUGUCUCUCCCUUUCUUUUUCUUUCUUACCAAGCUCAGUCUUACUUUUCUUGAUUUUUGAAUUUAUACGAGACAUUUCCUCUUUCAGUUUCAGCAGCUCUGGUUUCUACAAAUACGAAACCACAUCAAACAAUUCACUGUAUGUCCUCUUGAUCAAGCAUAAGAUCAAUUAUAUUUACAGAAAAGUAAAGGCCAUUUAUUUUAGAACGUCAGCAAAACUAGCAAUAUAACGGAAAAAAAUUCACAAGGACCCGUUCAUUCACCCACAGCAGCUAUACGAGACAGUCAGAUACUCUUAUAUUAUAUAUGUAGGUUGAACGAACACGGUUUCGCUAUAAUAAGUAAAAAUGUAAAGAUUUAUGUUAUAACUUCUCUUAAGCCUCGGUCAUUUGAGGGUCUAACGGAGACCAACUCAGUAACAAAAAAGCAAAAUGAAACUCAUGGUAUUGGACACAACUAUCAAUGAAAUUUCAAUCUUCUGUCCAAGGCAAAGAAACUCACGCUUUUGUCGAGUUUAUUACUUCUCUCGGCAAUCUUCUUCUCACAUUGGGCAAUCUCUUUUAAGUACUUGUUGAGUUCUUUCUUCUUUUUGGUUGCUUCUUGCUGAAAAUCAUCUAGUUCUUGCAUAACCUGUUCACGGUUUCUCUUUUCAGCUUCAAGCUCAUUAGUCGUUUUUGUUAUAUCUCUUUCUAUGUUGAACAACUGCCACAAAAAAUGUUCUCUCUUCAAAGAUUUCUGCAAGAAAGAAUACAUGUGAUUUUAGUAUUACACAGAAUCAAAGUUCUUAAGCAGAAGAUUCAAAGACAGGAGCAUACACCUAUUGAGCAUGUAAAAGAAACAAAACGUCAAUACCAAAAUAGUCUACAGGGAUAAGAGUUUGAUAUAUUAAAGACAGAUCCUAUAUUAGAUUUAAUCUACAUGUGUGAAUGCACACAACCAUGUGGAUGCAAGAUUCAUAGUGUGUGCGUAUUUGCGUGUGUGCGUGCAAAAGAGAUAAAAGGGAAAUGCAAUAUGCGAGACCCUCUUUCCUGAAAGUGAGUUCCUAGUAUCUACAAUAUCUUUUAAAGUUACAUGAUAUCUUUCAUGCAGGCACUUGUACAAUUAAUUACAUAAUUUCACCCAACACGGAUAAUUGAAACAAGCAGGAUAGACAUACGAACAACCCCGAUAAACAUAAUAUACAACAUAUGCAUAUUAUUGUGUGCAUAUAGACAUAUGUAACCAUUAACCAGUAAGCACGGACCAAGUAUGUGUAUAAAUAUAUAUACACACACACACAGCAAGUACGUGUAUAUGUAUGUAAAUAGAAAAAGAACGUUGAGGUACAAACCAGUUCAUUUUGCAGGCGAAUAUGCUUCUCAGCUUCUUCCUUUUGCUCUUUCUUUUGCUUCCUCUCCGCUACUAUGGUCCUCUUUUUCUGAUAAACAAGUGCUGCUUUUUCUUCAGCUAUGCCUUUCUCUUCUUCGUACUUUUCAUAGUCUCUCUUGAAGUCAUCUGACCCUGAGAUCUGCUCAAGCAGUGCAGUGAGUUCCUUAGGAUUUUUAGAGGCAAUGGACUCCACAUCACCCUACGGAGAAAGAAAUAAUCAGUAAUUAAAAGUGACCCGGUUACUGCCAAGAUAUGCAAACAUCAAAGUCACCAUAAAAGCAGCAGUCAUCUAUUUGUCUAUGAAAAAUAAUGCAAAUGAGUAGAGAUUGCACGGUUAGCAACUUCUGUGAAUUCUCGUUUUUUCCCUUUUAAUUUUGGUUUGGAUGAACAUGUUUCCAAAUUUAAUAAAGAUGUUCCAACGCGUCACUACACCGGAGUGCCCAAAUAAGAGUACACAGAGCCUGAAUUCAACAAUGGGUGGCAAGACAUUUACGUUACCUAACCCAACACCUUCAACUUCGCAAACGAAAUGUGCAAUUGGCGUCAGAGACAUUUUCGAUAUUCAAUAAUUAACUAACGCAAGGUGUGGCCAAUAAAUGUCAUUGAUGUACCUUCUCAUUCUAUUCUCAUUCAAAACCUCUGCUUCUUAGCAAACAUACUCCCUAAAGCAUAAUCAAUGAAAACAAUUCGACAUAGAAAAGCUAAAUUACGAGUAUCAAGUAAUCGAAAUCAACCUGAAAAACAAGAAAAUUGCGGGCCUUGACCAGAAUUCCCAACGACUUAAGCUUCUCAGUAUAAGUAUCCGCCGUCACCGACCUGCCGUCGAUGCGGUACUCACUGCCGCCGGAGCUAGUGAUGGCCCUGGUGAACUGGAUCUCGGACUCAUUGGCAAGCUGAUAAACCAAGGUCACGAACGCCCGGCGUCCCUUCUCGGUCUUCUCGCUGUCGUCCAUGGCGUAGAUCAGGUCCUUGAGCUGGGACCCACGGAGCUGGCCGGUCUUGACGCCGAGGACGAAGCUGAUGGCGUCCAUGAGGUUGGACUUGCCGGAGCCGUUCGGGCCGAUUAUGGCGGUGAAGUCGGAGAAGGGGCCGAUGACCUGGUGGCCGCGGUAGGACUUGAAAUUCUCGAGCUCGAGGCGGUGGAUUUUGCCCUGGGAGAUGAAGGACGGCAUGGCUUAGGGUUUCGGGGAGUUUGAAUCGAAGCUAGGGUUUGGGGAGGAGGUGGAAUUGAGCGGAGUAAAGGAGAGAGGAGAUGAGGGGAGGGGUGGCCGGAGAGAUGAGGAGGGGAGGUUUCCGGCGAGAGGGGAGGGAGGAGUGGAGGCGGAGAGGAGGGGAUUGGGGAUUUUGAGGUGGGAAUUGGCGGGAGAUUGGGGGAGUUUUGGGGAAUUUUAGGGAGGGUUGGUGAUUUGAGUUGCCAUUUUCGAAGUGAGAAAAAGUAGGAGACCGCAAAGAGUGAGCGCUUUAGUAGAGAGUCGAAACGUUUCGCUUUGGGCAAGAGAAUGCUAUUAUUUUUAUUUGCAGUUUAGUCCUUAAGGUUUUCUUUAUUUUCGUUUUGGCCGCUAGUUGGGUCAAGAUUUUACUUUUUUCUUCUUGUCUGAAUUCAAUAUGUGGAAAUUCAGUAGUUAGUUUCUUACCUUUCUGACUUUAAUCUUGUUUGAUCAAAACAAAAAACAAGCUCUUAUGAACUUUCAAUAGUCUCAUAAUAAUGUGUAUCAAUGAAGAAUGAAUCUAAAAAGGGGAUCAAUAGCUACUUAAAUUAUUGUUAAGAUUAUAUGAUAUGAUGUUAGAUUAUAGAAUCAUAUCACAAUAAAAAAUUGUAAUUUAAUAUUACUUGGAGAAUCAAUAUAUAAUCUUAAUUUUAGCGUAGAUGGUUAUUGUCUUUAUUGAUCCACCCAAAUCGAGAUCUAGAAAGAUGAAUGUCAAGGAGCUUUGGGGGGAAACUGGAAAGUAGGGGAUUGGCGGGAGAUGAAAUUUGUAAACUGCAGAAUAAAACUGCGAUAAUAUAAAAUUAUGAAGAAUGGGCUUUUCUAUUCAAAAAAAAAAAUUAUGAAGAAAAAAAUUACCAUGGUCAAUUGACUUUCCUAACAAAAAACAUCACAAAAAAGGUGCAACCAAGGCAAAGGCUAUGAAUAGGGAACAAAUCAAGUUGUCAUUCUACUUUCAUAAUGACAGUACGUCUUUAUAUCGUUGCGGUACGGUUCUUGCACUCGGGAAUUUCCAACAAGGAAAGCGAAGAGAAACCGGCAUAUAAGUGAGGAGAGAAUCCAGAACAUAUACUACACCAGAGAACGGUACAUAGACAUGUCAAGUAAGGCAAAGAAACUACUCAUCUGAAAAUGAAAAACAGAAAAAGACAGUAGCAAGAUGCACAUACAUAAAAAGAGUUUAGCAGAAGGGGCUUAUAGAAUGGAGACAGCUUCCACAAAAUAGUUUUGCCCCCACCUGAAGUCCACAUUCCAUGCUUAAAAAGUACCGAGUAUGAUUACAGAAUGGUUAAUUACUCUGAACAACAAUCAAAGAAAGAGACUCCUAAUGGACAAGGAUAUCCUGCUAGUAAGAAGUCAUCUGGAUGGAUGAAGCUUCAUCAAUGACCAACUUUUUCACUGCUAGACGAAGUGCCGUCUUGUACAGAAUCCGCUAUUUUGGUUUCACUAGGAGUUCCCACAGGCGCAGAUGGGAUGACUUCAGAAUAAAUGGAAUAUUCAGGCAGUAUACCGCCACGGUUUUGGAUGUCAUCUAAAUCCUCACGCUCAGGGGGGUUUGAGUUUCCUGGCAGUUCUCCAUGAUUUUGAGCCGGCACUUCUGGCACCUCAGGUCUGGUGGCAUCCGGAUUUUCAAGCUGUUGGCCUCCAGAGUUUUGGGAAGCUUCCAACUCCUCAUACUUGGAAAUAACUUGUUGAAGUUCUUCAUGAAGAUAUAGAGCCUCAAAGAGCAUACUUUCAUCAUCAGUAGUGGUUUCUAUAAUCCUCUGAAUAACAGGCUGAGACUCCUUGCACUUUUCCAGCAUGUUCAUCGUUAGUUCUUCCUGCAAUCAAGCAAGCAUUUCCACCAAGUUACAUAUCAUCUUCCGCUCACAAGUUGAUCUUUGGAUUAGGUAAAAUAUGGAAAAAUAAUCGUAGGAAAGGUCAAAUACUAUCUAGAAGAAUUAUUAUCAUGCAAUAUAUAAUCAUAUAGGAUAACAGCGUACAGGCAAACCUAGCCAUAGAAGAAUUACAACCGCUCUCCCUUACGGUCUGUGCUCAUAGUCAUAAUGCACGGAACAUGAAAAUUCUUCAACCUGCCCUAUAUUAUUUCUAUCUUCCUUUUAUAUACAAGGGAUAUGUAUUCUUCAAUAAUAUUUUAUAAAAGUAUUUUGAAUAUCCGGAUGCUUUAGAAUAGAAAUUUGUCAGUGAUAAGGAAGCAAAGCACUUAGUUCUAUCUCAGUAUUGAUUCCAGAGAAAUUUACACACACACACACACACACAUAUAUAUAUAUAGGAAUUAGUAUUGAUUUCCACAGAGAAGUCAGAAACACACCUUCAAAGGUUUCGGAUCUGUUUCACUAUUCAAAAUACUAGACAGCAACUCCAGGCUAUUGCGAGCUACAACAAGACAUUCUUUUUUUUCCUCGACUGAUAGGUAGUUAUAGCGAAAUUCACGGUCACUUGCAUCAUGAAAUCCUGUGACUGGUACAGGGUAUCUUUCCGGGGGAGGCAUAGGCUCUUCCAUGUAUGAUUCCAAGGUAGAUUGCAACGAGGGCGAAGUCCCUUCUGGUGCCACUGGACGUGCUCCUCUUUCUCUCAAUGUCUGUAUAACACCCAGAGAUAUAAUAAGGACAUCAAAUAUUACUUCAAUGGAUGAAAACCAAGAUUACUACAAGAAGAAAAUUCCAUGGUCCACAGAAGACAGGCCAGAAA
rnacentral:lncRNA from 1 species